rnacentral:lncRNA from 1 species
AUGCGGCGGUUCUGGAACCAGACCUUCACCUGGGCGUCGCGGAGCCGCAGCGAGCGGGCCACCUCCAGGCGGCGGGACCGCGACAGAUCUACAACACAGAUGUCCAAAUUUGCUUGGGUGAAAGUGAAAUUGAACAAAAAAUACACUUCUCAACGUAGCACGACAUUGUUAAAAUCGCACAGAGGGGGAAAAAAAACCCUAAGUAAUAUUUUUGACUCGUUACUGUCCAGCCAAACACAAAUACCAGAAGGCGAGGAAGAAAGCAGGGAAGAAAAGAAGAAGAAAAGAAAGACAGAAGACUUGUCUGUGCUGACCAGAAUUGGAGGAGUUAAAAUAUUUCUCACAAUAGGAAUGCCAGGUCCUGACAUUAGAGGAUGGAGUAGGAGCUGCAGUGUUUGUCAAACUGGGAAGUGGCGCGUCAGACGGUUUGGUGGGGAAUACAGAAGUUCGGAUUAAUCUUUAACUCGACACUUUUAGAAAGAGAUAAGAAUAGUCUUCUCGGGCGACAUGUACCGUCAGGAAGAGACUUUAAUGACAACGUUUACAAAAGAAGGAUCUCUGUAAAUCCAGCGAGGGAUCCAACACAGCCGUGUAACUAGAGAGGAGCAAACACCAGGGUUCAGAGCAUCGUUCCUUUUUUUUUUUUUUUUUCCCUCCUUUCUUUUUCUCUCUCUCUCUGAUUUAUUUUUUUUUUUUUUUCCCCCCUUUCUUUUUCUCUCUCUCUCUGAUUUAUUUUUUUUUUUUUUUCCCCCCUUUCUUUUUCUCUCUCUCUCUGAUUUAUUUUUUUUUUUUUUUCCCCCCUUUCUUUUUCUCUCUCUCUCUGAUUUAUUUUUUUUUUUUUUUUUUAAUUCUCCCCCGUGUUAGCUGUCCCGUUGGUGGCAGAGGGAGGCGGCGGUGCCCCUCCGCCGCAGGGCGCGGGGGGAGCGCGGUGGCACCGCCCGGCCGCUGCCCGCACCCCGCCUCGGCGGCUCCCCUUCGGCUGUCUACGUCUGAUUGUCAAUUUUCUUUCAAAGUUUAUUUUUAUGAAAAACAAGAGGAAAAGCUCGGGCUUCCAAAGAUGUCUAAAAAAUUGAUUUAUGGUUAGUAUAAAGACAACAGUAUAAAUAACAAAGGAGGCGGCAGCUGCUGCGCGGAUUGCUAUGGAGACCCUAAUGAAAUUAGCACUAUCAGAGGGUUUCUAAUUUUUUUGCGUUCUAAGCUUCUAAUUUCUUUCCUAUUUCAGAUAGCCAGAAUGUAAUUUUUAAAAAAAUAAAAUAAAAAGAAAGAAAAUAAAAUAGCCCA